GAUGAACGCUGGCGGCGUGCUUAACACAUGCAAGUCGAACGAAGAUGCCAUAGUAGAAGCAAUUAGCUUGCUAAGAGUGGACACAGUGGGAUCUUAGUGGCGGACGGGUGAGUAACGCGUGGGUAACCUGCCGUAUACAGGGGGAUAACACCUGGAAACAGGUGCUAAUACCGCAUAAGCGCACGAUGUCGCAUGACAACGUGUGAAAAGCCGAGACCGGUAUACGAUGGACCCCGCGUCUGAUUAGCUGGUUGGCAGGGUAACGGCCUACCAAAGCGACGAUCCAUAGCCGGCCUGAGA
rnacentral:rRNA from 1 species